rnacentral:rRNA from 1 species
CCCUUAGAUGUCCUUGGCCGCACGCGCGCUACACUGACAUGUUCAACAAGUUUCUCCUAGUUCGACAGGACUGGGAAAUCUUUGAACGCAUGUCGUGAUAGGGAUAGAUCAUUGCAAUUAUUGAUCUUGAACGAGGAAUUCCUAGUAAACGCGAGUCAUCAGCUCGCAUUGAUUACGUCCCUGCCCUUUGUACACACCGCCCGUCGCACCUACCGAUUGAAUGUUUCGGUGAAGAUUCCGGAUAGGACUGAUUUGAUUUAUUUCAUUUCUGACCUAAAAGCUAUCUAAACCUCAACAUUUAGAGGAAGGUGAAGUCGUAACA